rnacentral:lncRNA from 1 species
CGGAUCGUAUUUUCAGUUCCACCCCGACCGAAACGGCCGCAGUGUCUGCCCGCCCGCCAAAUGCGCGAUUAUUACACGUCUGUCUGCGCUGCACGAUCAUAUCGUGAAAAUUAGUGACAAUGUAAUAUUGUGCAACGAUACAAUAGUGACAAUGUAAUGAAAAAUUGCUAAAACACUGCGCGCCACAAUUGGAUAAUUGAAAGUUUUGAUAAAUCGUCGCGAGUUAACGAACGGCAAAAAGGAAAUAGGUAAAAAAGAACAAACGAAUGAAGAAAAUGAAAAAUAAAAUAACGCCCAACGUAUAUUAUAAUGACGCGUGAAUAGUGGGUGUGCGUUGUUUAGAAGAAGAAGAAGAAGGAGAAGAAAAAAAGAAAGAAGGAAGAAGAGUUAAAAAAAAACAAAAAAAAAAAAAAAUUAACAAUAAAGAUCCGCAUCGGUACUCACACAUACACAAGGGCACAAACGCGUGUACGUAUGUACGAUAUGUGCGUGCUUACACGACGAUGAAACGGAAGACCGGAGGACAAUCGAUAGUGAAGGUGUAAAUAGUUGAGUGCGAAAAGUAGGAGGAGGGUAGUGACGGUGGUAGAAAGGCUACGCAUACACACACGAUUAUACGCACGCAUCUUGGCACAUGAAUAUCUAUACGUACGCGUGUGAUACGUAAAGGAGAAGGAGAAGAAGAAAAAAACAAAAAUAAAGUAAAAAAAAAAAAAAAAGAAAAAAGAAAAUAACUCCGGGAGACACACGCGGCGUUUGUGCGGUUUUAACUACUGCCGCGGCAGCCGCGCUUCUGACUUUUUUAUACACCUGACCGCGGUUCGGUAAGAAAAAAUAAAAUAAAACGUGGAAGAGAGGUAAAAACAAUAACGAGAAAUUCGGACGGAGUGUGGUUCGGAAGGGAAAAAAAUAAAAAUAAAAAAAAAAAUAAAAUAAAAACCAAAGAAACAAUAACAGUAGUGGUGGUGGUGGUUUUUUCUCUUUCGUUAAAUUAAUUGAUUAGUACAUUUUUCACGCUUACGAAUAAAUAUCACCUGUCACCUAUAAUAUAUAUAUACAUAUAUAUGUAUAUAUGUAUGUAUAUAUGCGAAGGUGUAAUAUACGCAAACGCUUCGAUCGCUGUACCUAAUUUAUUGUAAUCAUAUACAUACAAUAUGUCACGUAUAAUAUACACGCAAAAAGUGCCUUGACGAGAUUGAAAAUUAAUGAAUAAAAAACAGAAGUAAACUGGCGAUGGUAAAUAUAUCGGACGAUAUUGGUAAAACCAAGUGUUGAGCAUAAGUGAUGUUUGGACAAAAUAUGUAUUGUAAUUUUUAGAGAACUGUUGUACAUGAAAAGUAUUUCUAAUUCUCCGAUCGUGUCUUCAUUUUAUCUACGUUUCGCGCUAGUUUUUCUUCUUUCUCUAAUUGUUCUGUGAAACCAACGCAUACACACAUAUAUACAUAUAUGUAUUAUAUGCGUAUGUGUGUGUACACAUAUUGUGCAUAUAAUAUGAAAUUUGUAGCAAACUUUGCGGCACGUAAACAACUUCCUCUCGAUCAAUAUAAAUGAUAGCAUAAAGAGAGAGAGAGAGAGAGAGAGAGAGAGAAAGGGAGAGAGACAGGAGGUAUGAGAAAAUAAAAAAAAAAGUGAGAAAAAUGUCGGUACGUAAUAAUAACGAACUUUGUGUAAAAUGGAACGAUGUUGGUAAAAAUGACGAUGGCAAAAAUAUUAAAAUAAUUCGACGAGGAAGAGAAUAAGUGAUGGAAAAAAGAAUUGCACUAUGCGUUACGUGUAUGCAGCGUACAAUUGUCAAAGUGAAGUUGAUAUUGUGAGUGAGGAAGGGAAUGGGAAAGAAACCGGAGUGAAAAACGUGAAUUUUAACGUAAUGAUAAUAACAACAACAAUCACGAUUAGGCGAAAAAUUUAACGACGACAAAACGAAAGCAAAUGUCACUGUACGCAAAGUUAUCGCGGCGUUGGAAAAGUGGGUGAUGUGGGGAAAAAGGUCGGACGCAAAAGCGAGCAGGGAAAAAAAUAACGAAUUUCUCGUACCGUGGAAAUGGUAUCAAUUAAAUGCUUAAUAAAGCGACGGGAACAUCGGGCAAUUGGUGUAAAAAAAUUCAUCGACGACAACUGUUAUAAUCGCAUAAGUAUUGAUAAAAAUAAUAACAACAACAAUGAAGAUAAUAAACGCGGUUGUGUAAAAUAUCCGCGUACAGAGCUGAGAUUGAUCGUUAAAAAAUCGUUGCUCCCGGGGCGAUCGAUAAUAACAAUAAUAAUAACAACAACAACAACAACAAUAAUAAUAAUAAUAAUAACAAUAAUAGCAGUGAUAGUAAUACUGACAAAGCAAAUUGACGACGGUGAGAUUGCAGAAAAAUCAUCGUUAGCGGCGUGGUUUUUUUCACACAACGUAGCGAAAAAAUCUUCUCGUUACAUUAUUUUUGUCACGUUGCUAAAUCCGUACGGCGAACGGCAAACGCGGGAUUCUUGGCAAGGAGGAUCGGACGGAGGGGGAGGAGGAGGAGGAAGAGGAGGAGGAGGAGAAAAACCGAAGGGAAAAUCGGCGCCGAAGCCGGGGAUAAUAAGAAGCGAUUCCCCCCCCGGAAGUUAGGGGAAUGCCGGCCCAACGGAAGGAGGAAGAAGAAGAAGAAUCGUCUAGAAUGGUCAAAACUCGCCUGGUGCCACGGUGAAAAGUGUCGGAUGAAAAAUAAGGAUAAAGUAAGAGAGAGAGAGAAAGAGAGAGAGAGAAAAAAAAAACCACAACGCGUAUAAUUGAGUCACGCGUGAAUUUAAGUACUCGUAUAACGCGUUGCAAUUUUGCGAAUUAUGCAUCGGGUUGAAUAAUUUGUACGCGUUGUGCGGUACAAAGUUUCAAAGGGUCGACGUGGUUGCGUUGGUGGUGGUGGUGGUGGUGGUGGUGGUUCGUUUUAAUUACAAUCGACUUUGUUAUACGUCAUCCCUACCGCGUGUACUACAUAACUAAGUUACUGUAUAAGUAAUGCGAACAACGGACUUGUACAAGCAACACAAGCCGCGCUUAACGUUCAAUGCGAUAUUUAACCGUUCAAUUUUCCCAUUGAAAAGACCGAGGAGAACAAGUUUUAUAUCUCUUCUAAGCCGAGUGACGAGAUAGGAAGGAAAAUAAAAAAAAAAAAAAAGAAAUUUUUAAAUAAAAUAAAAUAAAACUUUUAACCACUUAAUUGCACGCUCGAGGAUGAAACAGAGGCAAAGAGAGAAAAAAGGAUGUAGAAAUAAUGGAUGAAACGCAUGUUUUGCGAAAAUAAUUAUACGAAGCUGCCUUCUUAUUUUAUUUCAAUUUAUCUCUGCAGUUUUGACGUAUAAACGAUAACGUUGGUAAUGAUAAUAAUGAUAACAACGAUGUGUCGCGGUGUUAUUUUGAAACGUGCUGUGAAAAUUGAAGGGAAAUCUGCACAAGUGGUAUAAUAACAGUAAUAAAAAUAACAACAACAACAAAAAUAAUAAUAAACCAAACGAACGAAAAUUAAAAGGAAAACAAAAGAGACGCCGACAAAAACGAUUUUAAAAGCAACAAAAAAAAAAAAAUAAUAACCAUAGAACGAUAAACAAAUGAGAAUAAUCGUACAUCGAUUAUUCAACGAAGGGAGAAAGAAAUACAUACAUUGAAACAAUUCGUGAUGUUGCGCGAUGUUUUGUAACGUAUACUUGUAAUACAUAACUUACGUGUACAUGAGAAUACGCUUGAAUUUAUAAUUUGUUCUUCUCGAAAUAAUCUAAUAUUAACAAAUACAGUAAUAAUAUAUUAAACGGGAUAUAUAAGCGUUGAUGAUUUGAAAGAGGAAAAAAAAAACAAUAAAUUAAAAGACGAAGAAGAAGAAUAAGAAAAAUUUGAUGCAAUAGUAACGAAAAUAAAUAUGCGCUACAAUCCAAUAUCGAUCCUAAGAAAUAAAUAAAAUAUCGCUUGAGUAUGAAUAAUCAACCUGUCAUAUGAUAGAAGUGAAAUGCGUAUAGUAAUAAUACUAAUAAUAUAUACUGCUGAAAUUUUUCAAACACCUGCGCUUAUAAUAUAAUGAAACGGCCUUAUAUUGUAGAAUCGUGAAAACAACUCUCUCUCUAUACAUGUGUAUACAUAUAUAGUAUUGUUAUAACGGACAGAAGCAGGGAGAGAGAAAGAUAAUCAAUAAAAAACUUGUAGUACUGCAAGCGAAGGGAAGAAAACGAAAGGAAAAUUAGAGAAAAAAACAAAAAAAAAACAAUCGGCCUGAAUUUGUCUGAGAUCGAAU